rnacentral:rRNA from 1 species
CAGUCGAGCGAGAAAGGCCUUCGGGCUGAGUACAGCGGCGGACGGGUGAGUAACGCGUAGGAAUCUACCUGGUAGUGGGGGACAACAUGGGGAAACUCAUGCUAAUACCGCAUACGCCCUAUGGGGGAAAGCGGGGGACCUUCGGGCCUCGCGCUAUCAGAUGAGCCUGCGUAGGAUUAGCUUGUUGGUGAGGUAAAGGCUCACCAAGGCGACGAUCCUUAGCUGGUCUGAGAGGAUGAUCAGCCACACUGGAACUGAGACACGGUCCAGACUCCUACGGGAGGCAGCAGUGGGGAAUAUUGCGCAAUGGGCGAAAGCCUGACGCAGCCAUGCCGCGUGUGUGAAGAAGGCCUUAGGGUUGUAAAGCACUUUCAAUUGGGAAGAAAGGUUGCGUGUUAAUAGCACGUAGCUGUGACGUUACCUUUAGAAGAAGCACCGGCUAACUCCGUGCCAGCAGCCGCGGUAAUACGGAGGGUGCGAGCGUUAAUCGGAAUUACUGGGCGUAAAGCGCGCGUAGGCGGUUUGUUAAGUCGGAUGUGAAAGCCCCGGGCUCAACCUGGGAAUUGCCUUCGAUACUGGCCGACUAGAGUACGAGAGAGGGAGGUAGAAUUCCACGUGUAGCGGUGAAAUGCGUAGAUAUGUGGAGGAAUACCGGUGGCGAAGGCGGCCUCCUGGCUCGAUACUGACGCUGAGGUGCGAAAGCGUGGGUAGCAAACAGGAUUAGAUACCCUGGUAGUCCACGCCGUAAACGAUGUCUACUAGCCGUUGGGAGACUUGAUUUCUUAGUGGCGCAGCUAACGCACUAAGUAG